rnacentral:rRNA from 1 species
AACGCGAAGAACCUUACCAGGUCUUGACAUCCCGUGCAUAGCUAGGAGACUAGUGAAGCCCUUCGGGGCACGGAGACAGGUGGUGCAUGGUUGUCGUCAGCUCGUGUCGUGAGAUGUUGGGUUAAGUCCCGCAACGAGCGCAACCCUUACUAUUAGUUGCUACGCAAGAGCACUCUAAUGGGACUGCCGUUGACAAAACGGAGGAAGGUGGGGAUGACGUCAAAUCAUCAUGCCCUUUAUGACCUGGGCUACACACGUAAUACAAUGGCACUUAACAACGGGAAGCAAAGCGGCGACGUGGAGCAAAUCCCCAAAAAGUGUCUCAGUUCGGAUCGCAGGCUGCAACCCGCCUGCGUGAAGUCGGAAUUGCUAGUAAUCGCGGAUCAGCAUGCCGCGGUGAAUACGUUCCCGGGUCUUGUACACACCG